UCAGAGAAGUUGAUUAGCUUUCUCCGAAGGCAGGAGAGAGGCCUGGAGCGGCUCCUGCCCUGGUGCCUUUAGAGCAGCCCCGCCUGCACCUUGACCUCAGACCCGGGAAACGGUGCGCGUCUGUGGUGUGAGCCGUCCAGGCUGCGGUGCUUGUUCCUGCAGCCCCAGCAAGUGGAUACAGGUGGGAGGUGUCAGGGCCCUCAUUCAAGCCUGAAUCUGAGUCCAAAGCCAGUGCUCUAGCCACAUCCGCCUUGCUCCCGGCCUUGGCAGCCCAGAGCAGAAGGAACCCAGUUCCCUGGGUUUUUACAGAUAUGCGGACUGAGGCGCUCAGCAGCUGAGAGACUUCUCCCAGGCCAUGCAGCUGGGGACCGGCAGAGAUGGGACCCAAGUCAUAGGAGGCGGCCCUGAAACACCAGCCAGCCUUUGUGCCGGAUGCUCAGCAGUUGCCCUGCAGGAAUUCCAGCUUCAGUGAAGAAGGAGCUCUGGCAGCGGGCUGCGUGGGGAGGGAGCUGAAUUGAGAUGUGAUGAUGCUCUCUCAACUGGGAAGAAGGGAAACAACAUUUACAAGUUUCCUGUGACUGUUUCCCGGGUGCCCUGAAAACUCCGGAUCCCACAAAGAGGCGAGAAGGAGGUGCCUGAUUGACAGGACUGAACAGGAAGUCCCCGCUGUCUUCAACAAUCCAGCCUCGCUGGCACCCGGUCCGUCUGCCCAAACUUCCCACACGGGGGACAGCCGGGCAGCCACAGGCCCUCGUCAGCGCCCCUCAGCCCAGCCUGCUUUAGAAAGCCCAGGUUGCUUGCUUGCGGUUCGGGUUAGGGCUCUGGUAAUAGGCACUGAGUGACGGGUGCCAGAGGCCACUGGGGCUGGAAAGAACGCAUUUGCAUGAGCGAAUAGUCCUCAGCCUGUGAACAACAGCAUGCAAACAAAAUCAUUCCACCGGUGACAGAUUUAGAUGCUCAAAAAUAGGCAGUCAUGUCACUUUCUGACAUAAAUCCAAACGCCCACGGGAAUGGCCACAACAAGAGCUGCUGUGAUUCCGAGACUACGUUUACAGCCAGAACGGCUGUAAUCGCCGCCGUUUCCUUCCUCCCUCCAUCCUUUCACCGGAAGGGAAGAGUGGUCUGCCUUCCGUCCCGUUCUUCUAGCCUGUCUCUGCAGGUUGACUUCAAGCCUGUCAGAGGCAAAGGACAGAUGGCAAGGCGGAGUCACCCCUCUUAGGCACGAUCACAUUCUCACCUGAGCAUCUAGACUGGCAGCCCACUCUUCCCUGACAUAACCCGCCCCCGGUUCCUCUCAGAUCUUAUCCACCCGGCCUCCUGACUAUGGUCCGUCUUUCCUGUUAGCUGGCCUUUAUUCAUGCUGGUCCUUCCACCUGGAAUUCCUCUGCUCAUCAAAAUCUUAGCCUGUCUGCCAGGGCAGACUCGAAUGCCACUUCCUCCACGCAGCCUCCUCUGAUGGCUUCACUCCUCCCCU